rnacentral:rRNA from 1 species
UACGGGGGGAGCAAGCGUUGUUCGGAUUUACUGGGCGUAAAGGGCGCGUAGGCGGCCACCGCAAGUCGACUGUGAAAUCUCCGGGCUUAACUCGGAAAGGUCAGCCGAUACUGCGGGGCUAGAGUGCAGAAGGGGCAACUGGAAUUCUCGGUGUAGCGGUGAAAUGCGUAGAUAUCGAGAGGAACACCUGCGGCGAAGGCAGGUUGCUGGGCUGACACUGACGCUGAUUGUGCGAAAGCUAGGGGAGCGAACGGG